UACGGGGGGAGCAAGCGUUGUUCGGAUUUACUGGGCGUAAAGGGCGCGUAGGCGGCCACCGCAAGUCGACUGUGAAAUCUCCGGGCUUAACCCGGAAAGGUCAGCCGAUACUGCGGGGCUAGAGUGCAGAAGGGGCAACUGGAAUUCUCGGUGUAGCGGUGAAAUGCGUAGAUAUCGAGAGGAACACCUGCGGCGAAGGCGGGUCGCUGGGCUGACACUGACGCUGAUGCGCGAAAGCUAGGGGAGCGAACGGG
rnacentral:rRNA from 1 species